UCCUGCCUGUGUGCUCUCCUGCUCUGUGAGUCCAGGAAAUCAAACUUAACUUGUUGUGUACAGCGGGGGUCUUUACUAUCCGUUCAGCUCAGUGACUAUUCAUAGUCUUUUGACCUGCCCCAAUCUGGUUUGGCUGGCUAAUUUGUCAUACAUGUUGUUGUUGUUGAGACAGGGUCUCACUGUGUAGUUCGGCUGGCCUGGAACUCACUAUGUAGUUCUAGAUGGCCUCAAACUCACAGAAAUUGGCCUGCCUCUUUCUCCCAAGUGCUGGGAUUAAUGGCGUGCACCACCAUGGCUGAUGUGGUUUGAAUCUUGGACCUUACUUUACCAGUGUCCUGAGAAUGUUCCUCAUCUAGGUAAAUGUUGAGUCUUUUGUUUCUUGAUAGUGUCUUUCUCUCUGUUCCUUCCUAAUGGCAGAAACUAUCUCCCCAGAACUCCAGUAAAAAGUCACCUUUACACUGAGUUGGUCAGUAUAGAAAUCUAGUUUGGGAAUCACUUUCCAUCAGAAUUUUGAGAGUAUACUUAAUUCUCUUUAGCUCUAGUAUCACUACUGAAAAUAUGAUCCCAUGUCAAUGACUAAGUCUUUGGCUUUGCUUCUUUCUGCCUCUGAGAAGCCUUUAGAGGCUUGUCUCCCUGCCCUACCUCCCACGAGCUUUCUUCUCACAGCUCAUGACUUGUGUUACUGUUUGCUAAGGUGAAGACUGGAAAGUCAGUAUGAGGGCAUGGCUUGUCAUUAGUGGGAGUCCCCGCACGGCUGUCUGGGUGCACCCGAUCAUGUCACAGGUAGUGUCUGCCCAUUCCCUCCUCGGCUAAUCAGCUUUCUGAGAGAGUAACCCUUUUGCCUCCUGCCUGCACGAACAGCCGUGUUCCGGAGUGUUCAGUUCAUCUCGCUCCAGUUCACCUGCAGUUCAGUUACUCUGUCUCAGCCACACUCGGUCCCCAAUUCAGGGCUUCUCUGACCUGCUGUCUUUAAAGCAGGUUUCUUAUCCUCUGUUGGGGAUGCAGCUGGCUGGAUAGAAGAGGGAAGGAUUCUGUCUAAGAUGCUUCUUUUAAAGCCUCUCCGUCUCUUGCUUCUAGACCCUCCCGCACACAUAAGCUUUUACAAGUCCCACUAUAUGGUCCGUCCCAAGGUCUACUGCCCGGAUCAAUCUGCCGGUUAAUAGCUUUUCUCUUGCUAUAGGCUUUGUUUCACCAUCUUCUCCUUUACUGAGGCCACUAACUACUCAUGCAUAUUUUUUUUUUUUAAGAUCUAAAAGUGCUGUUGAUUCUCACCUACUCUUGUUUUUAGUCCUAGUGGUUUAAUUACGUUCAAGUUAUUGCUUCGCCUAUUUUAUGGUGGAGUUUGUAUUUAAGGGAAUGCCUGUAGGGAGACAACAUGGAGCCUACUAAUGCAUUUGCUGUAUUUAUUUGCAGAAAAACUGACCAAGGAACAGUGAUCCAUUUUAACAACUCUAACGUUCAGGCGUCUCUGGCAGCAAACACCUUCACCAUUACAGGCUACGCAGGCAAAGCAGCAGACAGAAAGGCUUCCCAGCAUCCUUUCCACAGCUUGGUGCACGCAGCCGGACUAGUGUAAGGGGCCUGGCGGUAGUGUAAGGGGCCUGGCGGUAGUGUAAGGGGCCUGGCGGUAGUGUAAGGGGCCUGGCGGUAGUGCAAGGGGCCUGGAGGUAGUGCAAGGGGCCUGGAGGUAGUGCAAGGGGCCUGGCGGUAGUGCAAGGGGCCUGGAGGUAGUGUAAGGGGCCUGGAGGUAGUGUAAGGGGCCUGGAGGUAGUGUAAGGGGCCUGGCGGUAGUGUAAGGGGCCUGGCGGUAGUGUAAGGGGCCUGGCGGUAGUGCAAGGGGCCUGGAGGUAGUGCAAGGGGCCUGGAGGUAGUGUAAGGGGCCUGGAGGUAGUGUAAGGGGCCUGGCGGUAGUGUAAGGGGCCUGGCGGUAGUGUAAGGGGCCUGGAGGUAGUGUAAGGGGCCUGGCGGUAGUGUAAGGGGCCUGGCGGUAGUGUAAGGGGCCUGGCAGUAGCUACCCAGACACUCGUGGAUGGAGAGGCACACUGACUCCUGGAGAAGAGGAGGAGGUUCCAGAUCUGGUGGGGAAUUUUGAUGGGGCUUCUAAGAACGAGGCAAACUGACUUACGGAGACUUCUGCAGGUGACACUUGCAGAAGCACCGGAGCUGCCGUUUUAUAUCAUGACUGCUUUUAGCAUUCGUUUGUUUAUGGGCCUGAUAAAAUCUAACACCUUAAACCCCAGGCCCCACACUGCAGCUCCUCCCUGUCUCGGCUUGCACCUGAGUCAUUCUUCGUAGCAAAUUAACCUGAAGAAGCCUGGGAAUAAAGUGUGGAGAGGUGGACCGAUGCUCUGCCUCGUUAAAAACAACCAGUGCCUUCUCUGCUGCUGGUGAGCAAACUGCUCUGUGAAAGUGAAAGGCUCUUCUCCGUCAUUCGGGCUCCACUUCCCCUCCUGACAAACCUGCAGUCACACCCUGUGGGUCGUGAACAAGGCCAGACACACCCGGGGUGGAUACCUGCCGCAGGAACAGACUCCUGGGCAGCUUCAGUGAGCAGCUCACUUAAUGAGGAACAGCAGCUAUUUAAACCUUUGGGGAGGGGAGUGAACAUCAUUGGCUGGGGUCAGGAUGCCUCAUUUGCAUACGGCGGGAUUCCAGGUACUGCUCACGUGACCUCAUAAAGGGAGCCUAGGUUUAGCUGGCUACUGGGCUACUCUGGUGACCUCUAGUGAGACAAAGGUGGGGACACAGUGCUCUGCGCUGGGUCCUGCAGGCCUAGGGCAGGGGGCCAGGGAGCGGGCCUACUCCUGAUGAGCACGUUUGAACCUGACUCAACUCCACUAUUGCUCGGGGCGGCUCCCCACAGUUCUCAGGCAGUCAGUGUCACAGAAGGUAAAGAGCCUGCCCUGCCAGGCUGUUUCAGAUCAGAGUGUUUCCCUUAGGCUCUCAAACAGUAGCAAGCCUGUGGACUUAAACCACCAGAGGGUCCGAGGCACGCUGCUAUGUUAGCUGCUGGCUCUCUAACACUGAAGCUGCGGGGACAGCAUGGUCGGGACGGAUGGCCCAGUGGUUAGGAGCACACACUGUCCUUGCAGAGGACCUAGCUUAGACCCCAGCACCCACAGCAGGCAGCACACAACUGCCUGCAAGUCCACGGUUAUCUGACCCCCUCUUCUGGCCUCCUCGGGUACCUGUACUCACCGGCACAGACACCACGCGUACAACACAUAAUUGAGAACAAACCAUUUUAAAAGAGGAGCCGUACUCAUUACAGAACUCUAAGAGCACGUGGGCAUAAUGUACAGAGGAGAUGAAGUCACAAGGACCGAUGCCUCCUACGCUCACGUGCCACAGCUCUGAACGCCAAGACCCUACGAGAUCUGUCCGUGGAGAAGAAAAUGCCGGACAAGAGAAGGGCGGAGGAGCUCUGUGGGUGCCGCUUACAGCUGGCAGCAGCUGGCAGCAGAACUGCCGGAGCCAUGAGGAGGAACAGGCCCAUCGUCCUCUGGUCUGGGUCCCCCUCCCCCUCUGACUGGAUUCGCUCCUGGACCGCUGUCUGCUCCUCCCCCAGUUCCCUUCUCUGUGGCUGAAGGUGUCUGUGUGUGGGACGCUCCACCUUGAGGAGCACUGGAAGACUGGAUAUGAUUUUGACUUUCUGUCCCAAAGACAGAAGAGAAGAUUGCAGGCCAGUGAAUUAAAAUGCGCAUUAAGCUGGGCAUGGAGGGCACGCCUUCAAUCCCAGCUCUCAGGAGGCAGAGGCAGGCAGGUCUCUGGGAGUUUGAGGUCAUCCUGAUCUACAAAGGGAGUUCCAGGACAUCCACGACUGAACACAGAGAAAACCUAUCUUAAAAAACCUUAAUAAAUAAAUAGCAAAUAAAAUGAAAUAAAAACAAAUCAGAUUGUACAUUAAGUUUACUCAGCCUCAAAAACAACAUGGUUCAAAGAGACAGAACCUGGACAACCCCUUACGUAAUCUGGAGACAGAAAUGGGCAGCAAGGCCACAGGAAGGCGCUUGGCACCACUGUCCUUCAGGUUAUUUGAAAUAACACAAGUAGGUAUCACAGUCACAACAGUAGCAAUGCCAGGCAUAAUAACAGGAAGCAAAUAUUGGGCGUGAUAAGGUAAGGGCAAGGUGAUUCAGUGACUGGAAAAUGGCUGGGCCUUUUCUCAGUAGUUAAACAAGUACCACAGGAUUUAGCACUUGGACUCCCACGUAUAUGGGAAGACAUUUGGGAACCCAGUGUGCUGGUGCAUGCCUUUAAUUUCAGCAUUCUGGAGACAGGCAGGUAGGCAGAUUUCUGCCUCUGAGUUUCAGGCUAGCCUGGCCUACACAGCAUGUUUCAGGACAGCCAGGGCUACAUAGAUCCUGCCUUUGAAAGAUCAUCAGAAACGGUUUUCAAUUCUAAACAAAGUCCUGUAAAGAUGAACCUGUGGGGUCAACAAGAUGGUUCAGAAGUUGGAGGUUCUUGCCACCACGUCUGACAGCAUGAGUUGGAUGCCUAGGAACCGGCUUUUACACACACACACACACAUACACACACACACACACACACACACACACACACACACAGUAUUAAAAAUGUGCCCGUAUGUACACUCGGGAGUUUUAUUCCUCACAAUGGAGGAUGCAGUGCCUGUGACUAUCAUCUCAGCAGUCAGGCAGAGUCAGGAGAGGGUCCAGCACGGGCAGCCUGGGCUGCACAGGGAGACCAUACCGUGUCGAGCCAAACACUCACAUUCAGUGCAGUGGGCAAGCACCUGCCUAGCCUUUGCAAAGCCUUGAUUUCAGCACCACCAAAGGUCCUGAAUGGUUACCAAUCCCAUUCAUGGAUAAGCAAAUUAGGGCAUAUGGAAUGUUAAGAUAAUGUAAUAUUUUUCAGUAAAGAAAAGAAUGGUCAAAAAGUUAUUCAUGCUUUGACAUAGAUAAACUUCAAGUCUCCAACAACACAGUGAAAAGAAGACAAACACGGUUCAGGAUCUAUAAGUGAUGGGUAUACAGUACUGUAAAUGUAA